UGUUCUGUGGCUUAGUUGGUUAAAGCGCCGGUCUAGCGAAUAGGAAGUCGUGGGUUCGAAUCCCACCAGAACGC
rnacentral:tRNA from 1 species